GUAGUUUGAGGAGGCUAGCUGGAUUUACACAGCUACAUUUCUGUGUUCAACUGCAUGUAUUCAACACUGUAAACGCCACAGAGGCAAUGUUGGAAGAGAAGAGGUCAAAGUGAGGUGGCAACCAUGGUCUAAAUGGUAAGCUCUUCCUAAAUUACAACAAACAGGUGUGUUGGAUGGGGAAAAAAGUAUUUAUACAGUGCUACAGCAGAUAUCCUUCCAUUUUAAUACAGUUUUUUGGCUGAGUACAAUUGAUUGUUUUAUUUAAUGCAGUGCGACAUAAUUGACGACAACCGAAGCAGCUUCUAAGACAUGUCACGACAUUCUGAGGGAAAGAUUAGAUGUUAGAUUUCUUAUUUUCCUCCCACAACUGCUUAAGUUGCAUCCAUGACACUGAGCAAUGGGAACACAGCUGAGAGCGCUCUGCCGGAAGAGACUAGGCCGAGCACAUACAGUAUAUAAACAUUGCAAAACGAAACAGCGCUGCUCGCAUGUUACUUUAAACUUUAGACUUUAUUGUCCCCAAGGGGAAAUUCUUUUUCACAUCACAAUACAGUUAUGGAGAGCACACAACAUACAGAUAAUGACAGGACAAACACAACAAGAUAACAUGCAGACAGAUGAUAUAGACAGAGUGAUACCGAAGUGAAUUAUCUGGGUGUUUUGUUAAGGGCUGCUAUGGCUGCAGGUACCAGGCUUUUGCCAUAACGAGCCCUCCUGCACAACAGGUACCUGCGUACCAGAGGGGCAUAAUGGUGAAGUGGCAGUUGAGUGGAUGUGUCCUGUGCUAUUGUAAAUGCGAUGCGUGAGAUUGCCUUGAGGUUGAGCGCUGACAGUGUGGGUGUGGAGAGACCGAUUAGUUUGGUAGCUAUGUUUGUGACACGUGUGAGUUUGGCCCGGUUUGUAACAGAAAGCAUGUUGAAGAAGCAGGUGGAACAGUAGAGCAGGAUGGGUUAAACAAUACUAUGAUACAACAGUAGGAGGAGAUGGUGGGAAAACAUAGAGUCCUUUAAGUUUAUGGAUGACAUACAGUCUUUGAUGGCUCCUUUUCUGAACGUCCGUUGUGUGCUGGUCAAAAGUGACUUUAUUGUCUAAUGUGAGUCCGAGGUAUUUGAAGCUGUCAACUGUUUCAACGGGCUUGUUGUUGAUGAGAAUGAGGUGCUGUGGAUAUGGGAUAUUUAAUGUUAUUUCUUUUGUUUUGGCUACAUUGAGAUGGAGGACGUUUUGUUUACACCAGUGGGAGAAAUGUGCGACAGUGUUGUGGUAGUCUAAUACAGAGUUAUUGUACGAUAGGAGAGGGAGGAUGGCAGUGUCGUCAGACUAUUUGAGGUAGGUGGUGGUGGGAGAGGGGCUGGUGCAGUUAUUGGUGUACAGGUUGUAGAGGAAAGGGCUUAGCACACAGCCCUGGGGGGCUCUGAGUUUGGUGAUGGUUAUGUUGUUGUGCCAACCCGAACACCUUGCCGUCUGUAGUUUCCUUUAGGUGGUGUUAAAAGCUGAGUUGAAGUCGACAAAGAGGAUCCUGGCGAGAUUGCCUGAGGAGUCUAGCUGCUGGAGGACAAGAUGCAGCAGGCAGGCGACAGUGUCCUCUGUGCCCCCUUUUUCCCUGUAGGCUAAUUGCAGGGGGUCAAAUUGAUUUUUGACAAACGGGAGGAUGGUCUUAUUUGUUGUUUUUAUAUUUUUGGAGCACAAGACAGCCAACAACAUACAUACCGCAUAACGCCAAUGUCUAUUUACACUAGUGUAGUAGCAACUCUUUCCUGAUCUCCUCCGAACGCCGUGGAGGACAGCGGGCGGUUAUUGACCAGUGACCAACUUGUAGUCCGUCAAGUCUCUCAGCCCCCAUGGCCCUAUUCCAUCGCUCUAUAAUCGUUUGACACAGAGACCAUUGGAACACACAAAAAGAUUGUCUAGUUUGACACCGGCACACAAACACUUUAAUUGCUUUUACGAUGUAUUAUAGCAUGACAAACUAAUAUGUAAGACAUGUUUAAUAAGCAAAUUGUCAAAAAAAUAAUUUUAUUAUUUCAGAAUGAAGGUCAUCCUUUAAGCUUUAUUUCCUUAAUAUGAGUUUUCUCUUUCAUUUCCUGGGAGUGGCAAGGACUGGGAGGACACGUGGGAGCCAGCUCAACAAAUACAAAUAUAAUAUUUAGUUCUGUCCUGUUCAGUUUAUUUUCAUCUUUAUGUUAUAAAUGUAUGUAUUUUAUUUACAUGUAUCUUAUUUUAUAAUUUUUAUUUGUUUGUUCCUUUUUUUUAUUUUGUGUGUGUAUUACAGUUCUUGUUCACAUUAAUGUUAGUGUCUGGAGUGCCUACAGUGUAUUUAAAUUGCCUCAUGAUGUAAUGUUUUUGUCUGUCUUGUUGAAGAUAAAAAGUGAAAUUGU